UACGGAGGGUGCAAGCGUUGUCCGGAUUUAUUGGGUUUAAAGGGUGCGUAGGCGGCCUAAUAAGUUUUCGGUGAAACCCAUGGGCUUAACCCAUGGAGUGCCGAGAAUACUGAUAGGCUUGAAUUUCCUCUAGGCGGGCGGAAUGGAAGGUGUAGCGGUGAAAUGCAUAGAUAUCUACCAGAACGCCGAUAGCGAAGGCAGCUCGCUGGGGGAGUAUUGACGCUGAGGCACGAUAGCGUGGGGAUCAAACAGG
rnacentral:rRNA from 1 species